CUCUAUCUUCUGGGUUCUCUUAAAAUGAGCUCGUAAUAAUGUCUUGUGAUAAAUUUAUUUUAAAAUUUUAUUCCUGCCAACUUCUUGAAACUUAUAUUAAUUUUGUAGUAGAUGUAAACUCAGUGAAAGCAAAAUAUGCUAUGAGUUCUUGUUUUUCUCUUGGUAACUUUUCUGUAAUUCGUAAUUUGUAAAAUGUCUUUCAACCUAACCUUCCGAGCACAUUGUAGGAUUAUUCAUGCAUUAACAAUAAUUCUGGAUUUUUGAUCGAGACUGUACUGCUGAACCCAAUCAGUUGAUAACCACCGGUAUAAGGUGAAGACCAGUUGACCUUGCUUCAGAGCUGACUGACUCCCCUUUCAAAGGGCAAGGCCAAUUCAAGCUCAACAAAAUGACUUGCCAUAAUUCGAAUAUUUUUCAUCAAUAAACAUUCAUGGACAAGUAGAACAACGAUAACAGUAACCGUUACAAUACCUUUGAUAAUGAUAAAUUAUAAUGAUUUAGUUCCUACCACUUGAUAAUUCCAAUUUUAAUACAGUAGUGUAAUAAAUUGAAUAUGCAACAUUA